CCAACUUCCGCCGCGGCCGUUCUCGGGGUCUCCGUCCUCGGACCUGUCCCUGCCGCCACCGGCGGCCAUAGCCCCGAGCUCCCGGCCCCCUCCAUCGCCUACCUUCCUUUGUCCCUUUGCUGCCCGAGUUCCCACCGCCGGCGGUGAGCAUAACCCAGAUCCCCUAACCACAUCGAUGCAUGCCUUCCCUAGUGACGCGGCCACCGACAGCCCCGUCCACCGCUAGCCCUCUCGAAGGACCAAGACAGCGCCCUCCACUUCCUCCUCUCAGGGAAAGAUCCUUCCUAUUCUUCCUCUCUGGAAGGACCAAGACAGCGCCCUCCUCUUCUUCCUCUCAGGGAAAGAUUCCAUAUGUGCUUGUGCUAGAGGCAUGCCGCUGGCACCGUUGGGCCCUCAUUUAUGUUAUACAAGCCAUUUGAGGAUAUGACGUGAUGAGCUAUUUUUCAGUCAAC